rnacentral:rRNA from 1 species
CCUGAACGCUGGCGGCGUGGCUAAGACAUGCAAGUCGCACGGAGGUAGCAAUACCUUAGUGGCGAACGGGUGAGUAAUGAAUCGCUAAUGUGCCCCGGACUCUGGGAUAGCUGCCCGAAAGGGCAGGUAAUACCAGAUGAUAUAACCGAACCGCAUGGUUUGGUUCUCAAAGGUCCGCCGGUCUGGGAGCAGGCGAUUUCGUAUCAGCUAGUUGGUGAGGUAACGGCNCACCAAGGCGACGACGCGUAGCCGGACUGAGAGGUUGGCCGGCACAUUGGGACUGAGACACUGCCCAGACUCCUACGGGGGGCUGCAGUAACGAAUCUUCCGCAAUGCACGAAAGUGUGACGGAGCGACGCCGCGUGUAGGACGAAG